rnacentral:rRNA from 1 species
AUUGAACGCUGGCGGAAUGCUUUACACAUGCAAGUCGAACGGCAGCACGGACUUCGGUCUGGUGGCGAGUGGCGAACGGGUGAGUAAUGUAUCGGAACGUGCCCAGUCGUGGGGGAUAACGUAGUGAAAAUUACGCUAAUACCGCAUACGAUCUAUGGAUGAAAGCGGGGGAUCGCAAGAACUCGCGCGAUUGGAGCGGCCGGCAUCAGAUUAGGUAGUUGGUGGGGUAAAGGCCCACCAAGCCAACGAUCUGUAGCUGGUCUGAGAGGACGACCAGCCACACUGGAACUGAGACACGGUCCAGACUCCUACGGGAGGCAGCAGUGGGGAAUUUUGGACAAUGGGCGAAAGCCUGAUCCAGCCAUUCCGCGUGCAGGAUGAAGGCCCUCGGGUUGUAAACUGCUUUCGUACAGAACGAAAAGGUUUCUACUAAUACUAGGAGCUCAUGACGGUACUGUAAGAAUAAGCACCGGCUAACUACGUGCCAGCAGCCGCCGUAA